UAUAUGUUAGUGUAUAAGCACAAAAAAUUUUGAUUUUUUAAGAGAUGGUGGAAGCCCGUUAUGUAUAA
rnacentral:tRNA from 1 species